UACUUUUGGCAGUGUUGAUCAGAGCGGACGGCUCAUAACCGUCCGGUCGUAGGUUCGAGUCCUGCAAGGUACA
rnacentral:tRNA from 1 species